rnacentral:misc_RNA from 1 species
GGCUUCCUCGUGUUCUUUUGUUAUUGUUCAUCUUGAGGGCUGCUGUUAUUGAUUCGUCAGCCGAAAAAAAUGAAGUUGGCUCCUAGAGAAAUAGAGAAAUUGAUGCUACAUAAUGCUGGUUAUCUUGCUCAAAAACGUCUUGCUCGAGCUCAACUUCUUAACUAUACUGAAGCCGUUGCUGUUAUUGCAACUCAGGUCUUAGAAUUUGUACGUGAUGGAGAUAAGAGUGUGGCUGAGCUGAU